rnacentral:rRNA from 1 species
GAUGAACGCUAGCGGCAGGCUUAACACAUGCAAGUCGAGGGGCAGCAUAAUGGAUAGCAAUAUCUAUGGUGGCGACCGGCGCACGGGUGCGUAACGCGUAUGCAACCUACCUUUAACAGGGGGAUAACACUGAGAAAUUGGUACUAAUACCCCAUAAUAUCAUAGAAGGCAUCUUUUAUGGUUGAAAAUUCCGAUGGUUAGAGAUGGGCAUGCGUUGUAUUAGCUAGUUGGUGGGGUAACGGCUCACCAAGGCGACGAUACAUAGGGGGACUGAGAGGUUAACCCCGCACACUGGUACUGAGACACGGACCAGACUCCUACGGGAGGCAGCAGUGAGGAAUAUUGGUCAAUGGAAGCAAGUCUGAACCAGCCAUGCCGCGUGCAGGAUGACGGCUCUAUGAGUUGUAAACUGCUUUUGUACGAGGGUAAACGCAGAUACGUGUAUCUGUCUGAAAGUAUCGGACGAAUAAGGAUCGGCUAACUCCGUG